rnacentral:rRNA from 1 species
GAUGAACGCUGGCGGCGUGCCUAAUACAUGCAAGUAGAACGCUGAAGGAGGAGCUUGCUCUUCUGGAUGAGUUGCGAACGGGUGAGUAACGCGUAGGUAACCUGCCUGGUAGCGGGGGAUAACUAUUGGAAACGAUAGCUAAUACCGCAUGACAACAGUUAUUGCAUGAUAACUGUUUAAAAGGGGCAACUGCUCCACUACCAGAUGGACCUGCGUUGUAUUAGCUAGUUGGUGAGGUAACGGCUCACCAAGGCGACGAUACAUAGCCGACCUGAGAGGGUGAUCGGCCACACUGGGACUGAGACACGGCCCAGACUCCUACGGGAGGCAGCAGUAGGGAAUCUCCGGCAAUGGACGGAAGUCUGACCGAGCAACGCCGCGUGAGUGAAGAAGGUUUUCGGAUCGUAAAGCUCUGUUGUAAGAGAAGAACGAGUGUGAGAGUGGAAAGUUCACACUGUGACGGUAUCUUACCAGAAAGAGACGGCUAACUACGUG